rnacentral:rRNA from 1 species
CUACGGGGCGCAGCAGUUAAGAAUAAUCUACAAUGCGCGAAAGCGUGAUAGUUUGAGUCAGAGUGUGUUUCUAUUUGAAACACUUUUGCCAAAUGUAAAAAGUUUGGCGAAUAAGGACUGGGUAAGACGAGUGCCAGCCGCCGCGGCAAUACUCGCGGUCCAAGUCGCAGCCAUAUUUAUUGGGUCUAAAACAUCCGUAGCUUGCUUUGCAAGUUCCUUGUGAAAUUUUAUCUCUUAAAGAUAAAGCGUGCGGGGAGUACUACAAAGCUAGAGACUGGAAGACGUAACGAGUACGUUCAAAGUAGCGGUAAAAUGUGUUAAUCUUGAACGGACUAACAAUAGCGAAGGCACGUUACGAGGACAGUUCUGACAGUAAGGGAUGAAAGCUAGGGGCGCAAAACGGAUUAGAUACCCUCGUAGUC